rnacentral:rRNA from 1 species
GGAAUACGUUUCGUAGGUGACCUGCGGAAGGAUCAUUACCUAGAGUUUGUGGACUUCGGUCUGCUACCUCUUACCCAUGUCUUUUGAGUACCUUCGUUUCCUCGGCGGGUCCGCCCGCCGGUUGGACAACAUUCAAACCCUUUGCAGUUGCAAUCAGCGUCUGAAAAAACUUAAUAGUUACAACUUUCAACAACGGAUCUCUUGGUUCUGGCAUCGAUGAAGAACGCAGCGAAAUGCGAUAAGUAGUGUGAAUUGCAGAAUUCAGUGAAUCAUCGAAUCUUUGAACGCACAUUGCGCCCCUUGGUAUUCCAUGGGGCAUGCCUGUUCGAGCGUCAUUUGUACCUUCAAGCUCUGCUUGGUGUUGGGUGUUUUGUCUCGCCUCCGCGCGCAGACUCGCCUUAAAACAAUUGGCAGCCGGCGUAUUGAUUUCGGAGCGCAGUACAUCUCGCGCUUUGCACUCAUAACGACGACGUCCAAAAGUACAUUUUUACACUCUUGACCUCGGAUCAGGUAGGGAUACCCGCUGAACUUAAGCAUAUCAAUAAG